AACCCCUUGGUAAUUCUCCAGGUUGCUUACUCUGGGGGAAGUUGGUUGCCACGUUAUAAGGACAUUUCAGUGGCCAACAGAGAUAUCCAUGCAACAAGAAGCUGAAGCUUCCUGCUAACAGAUAUGAGUGAGCCAUCUUGGAAGAAGAUUCUACACAUCCCCAGUCGAGCCUUCAGAUGACUGCAGCCCCUGCCAACAUCCAACCCUAUGAGAGACCCUGAGUUACAACCACCCAGCUAAGC
rnacentral:lncRNA from 10 species